GACGAACGCUGGCGGCGUGCCUAAUACAUGCAAGUUGAGCGCUGAAGGUUGGUACUUGUACCAACUGGAUGAGCAGCGAACGGGUGAGUAACGCGUGGGGAAUCUGCCUUUGAGCGGGGGACAACAUUUGGAAACGAAUGCUAAUACCGCAUAAAAACUUUAAACACAAGUUUUAAGUUUGAAAGAUGCAAUUGCAUCACUCAAAGAUGAUCCCGCGUUGUAUUAGCUAGUUGGUGAGGUAAAGGCUCACCAAGGCGAUGAUACAUAGCCGACCUGAGAGGGUGAUCGGCCACAUUGGGACGGAGACACGGCCCAAACUCCUACGGGAGGCAGCAGUAGGGAAUCUUCGGCAAUGGACGAAAGUCUGACCGAGCAACGCCGCGUGAGUGAAGAAGGGUUUCGGAUCGUAAAACUCUGUUGGUGGAGAAGAACGUUGGUGAGAGUGGAAAGCUCAUCAAGUGACGGUAACUACCCAGAAAGGGACGGCUAACUACGUG
rnacentral:rRNA from 1 species